rnacentral:rRNA from 1 species
UACGGAAUGUGCUAACGUUAUUCGGAAUCACUGGGCUUAAAGAGUCCGUAGGCGGCUUGUUAGGUGAGGUGUGAAAUCCCUCGGCCCAACCGAGGAAUUGCGCUUCAAACCGGCGAGCUUGAGGAGGAUAGAGGUGGGCGGAACUGAUGGUGGAGCGGUGAAAUGCGUUGAUAUCAUCAGGAACACCGGAGGCGAAAGCGGUCCACUGGGUCCUUUCUGACGCUGAGGGACGAAAGCUAGGGGAGCGAACGGG